GACGAACGCUGGCGGCGUGCUUAACACAUGCAAGUCGAACGGUGAAGCGCUGGUUUGGUGGUGUGGUCUAGUGGCGAACGGGUGAGUAACACGUGAGUAACCUGCCCUUUACUUUGGGAUAAGUUCGGGAAACUGGGGCUAAUACCGGAUAUGAGCUCCUGCUGCAUGGUGUGUUGGUGGAAAGUUCGGUGGUUGGGGAUGGACUCGCGGCCUAUCAGCUUGUUGGUGGGGUAGUGGCUUACCAAGGCUGAGACGGGUAGCCGGCCUGAGAGGGUGACCGGCCACACUGGGACUGAGACACGGCCCAGACUCCUACGGGAGGCAGCAGUGGGGAAUAUUGCACAAUGGGCGGAAGCCUGAUGCAGCAACGCCGCGUGCGGGAUGACGGCCUUCGGGUUGUAAACCGCUUUCGCCUGUGACGAAGCGUGCGUGACGGUAACGGGUAAAGAAGCACCGGCUAACUACGUG
rnacentral:rRNA from 1 species